GUUGCGAAGGUUGAGUGGUUAAGCCGUUCGACUGGAAAUCAAAUGGGAUCUUAACGCGCAGGCUCGAAUCCUACCCGCAACG
rfam:Nematostella vectensis strain CH2 x CH6 NEMVEscaffold_486_Cont28485, whole genome shotgun sequence.